rnacentral:rRNA from 1 species
GACAGAGGGUGCAAACGUUGUUCGGAAUUACUGGGCGUAAAGCGUGUGUAGGCGGUCCACUAAGUCGGGUGUGAAAGCCCUGGGCUCAACCCAGGAAGUGCACUCGAAACUGGCGGGCUAGAGUAUCGGAGAGGUUGGUGGAAUUCUCGGUGUAGAGGUGAAAUUCGUAGAUAUCGAGAGGAACACCGGUGGCGAAGGCGGCCAACUGGACGAAUACUGACGCUGAGACACGAAAGCGUGGGGAGCAAACAGGAUUAGAUACCCUGGUAGUCCACGCCGUAAACGAUGGGUGCUAGGUGUCGCGGGCUUUGACUCCCGCGGUGCCGUAGCUAACGCAUUAAGCACCCCGCCUGGGAAGUACGGCCGCAAGGCUAAA